UCUGUGCAAAGCAUGACCCAAGGAUCAAUGU
rnacentral:piRNA from 1 species